rnacentral:piRNA from 1 species
UGCCAGAGGAGCCGAGAGGUUUCGACA